UACGUAGGGUGCAGGCGUUAAUCGGAAUUACUGGGCGUAAAGCGUGCGCAGGCGGUCUUUUAAGUCAGAUGUGAAAUCCCCGGGCUUAACCUGGGAACUGCGUUUGAAACUGGAAGGCUAGAGUGUGGCAGAGGGGGGUGGAAUUCCGACGUGUAGCAGUGAAAUGCGUAGAUAUGUGGAGGAACACCGAUGGCGAAGGCAGCCCCCUGGGCUAACACUGACGCUCAUGCACGAAAGCGUGGGGAGCAAACAGG
rnacentral:rRNA from 1 species